AUCAAUAUCCAAUUCUUCUCUCUCGUUCGCUCUCAUCAUUUUGUCCUUGCUCCCUCUCUCUCGUCUCCCCACCCGAGCUUGGUUGGUGAGUGGCGGCCGGACGCCUCUGCUAGGCACAACCACCAUAGGCACGGUGAUGGUUUUUUUCGCUCUCCCCGGUGCAACAGCGACUGCGUCUUCCUCCGUCGUCUUCCUCUCCCCUAUGCAGCGGCCAUCCGAUUCCACCAACACAAAAGGUUCUCCACUCGUGCCUCCCUCUCCUCUCCUCUACUCUCAUGUCCCGUGAGGUGGAGAAGGAUGCGCGGGGGCUAGAUCCGGCAGCCCCCGAGCUCGGCACCACCACGACGGCGAGGAGGAGGACUGGCGAAGAGUGGCGAUGGUGAUAGGCUUGGCCUUCGGUGAGCAACUAAUGGCCGCGAUAGCCUCGGUGGACUAUGAUUCGGUUUUUGUAGUUAACCUUUUGUGUUGAAUGUUGAUAUUCUAUAUAUCAUUCGGUGAUU
rnacentral:sRNA from 1 species